rnacentral:rRNA from 1 species
UACAGAGGGUGCUCGCGUUAAUCGGAAUUACUGGGCGUAAAGCGUGCGUAGACGGUUAUUUAAGUCGGAUGUGAAAGCCCCGGGCUCAACCUGGGAAUUGCAUUCGAGACUGAAUAGCUAGGGUACGGUAGAGGGAAGUGGAAUUUCCGGUGUAGCGGUGAAAUGCGUAGAUAUCGGAAGGAACAUCAGUGGCGAAAGCGACUUCCUGGACCAGUACCGACGUUCAGGCACGAAAGCGUGGGGAGCAAACAGG